GAGCCAGUCCCCUCCCCAUCUGCGCGCCGAUGCCUCUGAGCCUCCUCAGGAAACUUCUCGGUCUGGAGCCCGUUGGUCACUGCAGGCUCAGCGGACCGAGGUUAGGACGGAUCGGCCUCUCUAGUCAGAGCGUGCAGUGGUGAUCAGAUCCCACCGGGAAGGCAGCAUAAUCGCGUGGUCCCAGCCUUCAAGCUGCCUGCGCCGCACAUCUUGGACGGAAUGCCAAUAGUCAACUGGACCUGCUGUGACGAUCCUUGGCCUGCAACUCAGCAGUUGGAGAUGGCAUUUGUCUGACUUAGAAGGCCGUUGUGUUUGUGAGAGCAUCUUUCUGGCUCCCGUGAAAUGAACAGCCCUGUCCCACCAGACCCUCCUGCCACGUUCUACCGAUCCACCUGGCUGGGAGCCAGAAACAGUGGGUCCACAGACUGAAACUGUGCAUCAUGAUCAAUCAGUCUCUCUCUCUCUCUCUCUCUCUCUCUCUCUCUCUCUCUCUCUCUCUCUCUCUCUCUCGAUUGAUUUUGUGUAUGAGUGUUCUGCCUGCAUGUACACCUGCAUGCCAGAAGAGGGCAUCACAUCCUUUUAUAGAUGGUUGUGAUUGCUGAGAAUUGAACUCAGGACCUAUGGAAAACCAGCCAGUGCUCUCAACUGCUGAGCCAUCUCUCCAUCCCUGAAUUUCUCCCUUUAAAUUAUUUCUCUCGUCGGGCGUGGUGGCGCACGCCUUUAAUUCCAGCACUCGGGAGGCAGAGGCAGGCGGAUUUCUGAGUUCGAGGCCAGCCUGGUCUACAAAGAGAGUUCCAGGACAGCCAGAGCUCUAAAGAGAAACCCUGUCUUGAAAAACCAAAAAACAAAACAAAACAAAACAAAAAAAACAAAAAAAAAUUAUUUCUCUCAUGUAUCUGUCACAGUGGUAAUAAAAACGAACAUACCUUAUUUUUUAAAUUCUUUUCAAGCUUAUGGGUAUCUUCUUACAUAGUAGAUUUGUAUCUUUCUACUUAUUAUUGUUUCCUUCCUAUAUUGAAUUACUUAAUCCACCUAGGAUUUAGUUUGGCAAACACAGGGAGUUAGAAUGUAACUUUAUUACUUCUAAGAAUAAUUAGGCAAUUAUACUAGCAGUAAGAUUCUACCUCUCUCCCUCAUUACAGCUCUAAAUUUUAAUAUAUGCAUUAAAGUCUAUUUCCAUGUUAUCACUCUUUCUCCCUUGGGCUAUUUUUGUACUUAUAGGAGAAAGUUCAUAAUUUUAGUUUUAAAUAUUUAUAAUAAAAAAGGAAGAAAAAUUAUCUUCAAUGAUACCCUUAUAUUUGGGGGAGCUAGGAGACAAGUAUUGAUUGAGCCCCUAAGUUAGAUCCCGCCUAAGCAAUAUAAGACCUUGUCUCUCUCUCUUUUUUUUUAAUUAUCUACAGAGAUAGGCUUUUUGAAGAGAGUUAUUAAUACCUCAGACAGCAUGAAGUAAGUCUGAGGAGAGAAAGCCUUUAGUUCCCACAGGCGAAUCAGUUUCUGCUCCUCUGUCUUGCAAUCCAGGGGGCUGGGAUUAUGUUCCGAGCCUCUGAGCCCUGAUAAUCUGCUCUACUGGGUGUUUUUUUCCUGCUAAAUGUCACUUUCCAAAAAAAAAA